GACGGAUGGAAUCAUGGAUUGAAGAGGGAUAAACAUCAGCUCUUCUCUCACGAUUUCAUACCUCUACUCUCCCAUCGGAAUGAUCAGGCCUGAACCAGAGCUAGGGAGAAGAGGGACGAGGUGGCACAGGCAGAAACAGAGAAGCUCGAUCACCUCCAGUACAGCAACAAGAUUUGUAUUCAUACAUUCUCUAGAAGAAAUGUGCACAUGGCAUAGUGGAUGAGUAAAAAAUAGAGCCACCUGGUCUCCAAAAACCCAAAAGCAUGAGGUGGCCAUAUUCGGAGUUGAAAUUCCACUGUCCCCCAAGAGGGAAAGAGGCCUGAAAAUAACAACCAAGCCAGUAACAACAAGCACCCCUUGAGACAGAUAAAAUAAUAUUCCACCCAAAGGAACCAAAAGACUUCUUGAAAAAUUACAUGGCCAAUCUCUGGUCUAGAG